CUUGCUCAUGCCCCUGCCCCCACCCUGGCUCUUGAUAUUUUUGGAGGACCCUGGCAAUUUGCUUCACGGGAAUGUUCAAGCUGUAUUUGUUACCCUUCUCUGAACAGAUGUCGCUUCCCAGCUAGAGACUGAACCUAGAAAGCUCAGCGGGUGCUCUCUGGACUCAUCUCUAUGUAACACUGAUCUCAGGUGCCCUGCCUCUGCCUCUUGGUUUUCUGGAAGAGUUGACAGUGAAGGUGGUCUUGGUGGCACACACCCUUGACAGUAUAAUGAAUUCGUGGCCAGCCUGGACUACGGAGACCUCAACAAACAAUAACAAUAACAACACUUCAAGGGUCUGGUGAAAUGGCCGAACAGUUAACAGCAUUGGCUGUCUUCCUGAGACCCUGGUUUUGGUUCCCAGCCCCCACAUGGACGUUCCCAACUGUCUGCAACUCCGUUUCCAGGGGACCUGACGCCCUCUUCUGGCCUCCGCGGGCAUCAAGCACACACAUGGUGCACAGACACAAACAUCCAUAUUCAUAAAUUAAAAUUUGCUGGAAAUAAUGAGAAGGAAAAGCAGAAGUAGGCUGGACAAUGAAGGAAAAGCGUCGGAAACAUUUCUGAUUGGGGAGAAACAGAGAAACAGCCCUGGAGAUGGACUGCAACUCACACAGGAAGGAACUGUGCUUGCUGGAACCCUCCUCACUGCAACUGGGUCAUAUUCUUUAUAUUCCUAUUCAGUUUUCUUAUUUAUUUGUUUUGAGUCAGGCUUUGCUAUGUACCCCAGGCUGGACUUGAACUCAUAAUAGUCCUGCCUCUGUCUCUAGAGCUCUGGAGUUCCAAACCGGAGUCACCACGGCUGUCAAAAUUUAAAAUCAAUGUUAAUAUCCUGUAUUAAUCAUUCAGUAGGACAGAGAAACUACAAAGACAGAAACGGUCAACAGCCAGAGGUCAACAGGCACUAUCUGACAAGGGGGAGAGAGGGCACAGUGUAAGAAAAUGCAGAGGGUGAAGGGCACAGGGAGGGACACUGUGCUGGAUGACCUUCAGACAGACGUGGUGAUCCUGCUUGGCUGCCUUCACUGCCACCGCUAAAUGUCUCCAGUGCCAGCUGGCGUCUGAGCCUUUUAGUAAUUCUCAAAAUAGCAGUCUUGCUCUGCCUCGUUGCCACCUGCCCUUCUCUGCACCUCCUCCCCUCCAUUUCUCCUUUCUUUGUUGAGGUUUGUAUGUUGUCCAGGCUGACCUUCAAUUCUUGGGCUAAGACCAUAUUCCCACCUCAGCCUCCUGAGGUGGGACAGCAACUCCACCCAUCAAGUCCCAUUUCUUUUCUCCUCCUCUUCCUCCUCCUCCUCCUCUUCUUCCUCCUCUUCCUCCUCCUUCCUGAGGGGUUAUGACUAUGUAGCCCUGGCUGGCCUGAAACUUUCUAUGUAAAUCAGACUGGCUCACAUUUACAGAUCUAUCGGUCUCCCAAGCCUUUUUUUUUUUUUUUAACUUUUUAUUUAUGUGCAUGUGUGUUUGCACGAACAUAUGCCAUGUUCACGCAGGGGCCUGUGGAGAUCAGAAGAGAGACCCCGGAGCUGGAGCUCAAGGUGGUUGUGGGCACUGGGGAUUGAACCUCAAUCCUCUGGAAGGGCAGGAAGUGCUCUUAAUCAAUGAACCAUCUCUAAAGCCCCACUUUCUUCUUUAAAAGAAUAUUUUCCAAAUUUCAUUUAUUUGCAUUUCUUUUUCCCCUGCAGGGGACAUCUGUGGGAGUCUGUCUUCUCCGUCUACCGUGUGGAUUCUAAAGCUAGAACUCAGGCUGGCAGGCUUGAUGGCAAACACCUUUACCUGUGAUUCAUCUUACUGACCCAAUUCAUUGUUUUAGCCAUACAUGAAUAUGUAUGGGGUGUUGGUGAAAUGAGAACAUUUCUAGAAAGAACAUAUGUAGCAAAUCCUCCCCCCACCUGCCCUUCCCUCAGGUAACCAUGCAAGUGGAUCAGUUUGACUGCACCCUCUAGACAGCUAUCUACACAUACAUUGGUAUAUAGUGUACGGUACAUUCCGACUGUCUUAGUUAAGUGUGGACACACACACACACACACACACACACACACACACACACACGAAUCCAAUGGCAAUGUUCCACACUUUCUGUUCCACACUUGCUACCAAAUGACAAUUUACAAUAGUGGGGCUUGUAAUGCAAGCACUUGGGAGGUGGAAGCAAGCGAUUAGGAGCUCAAGGCUAACCUGGGUCUCACAG